rnacentral:lncRNA from 1 species
UUGCCACAAAGGAAAAAGAAGUCAGAGAGACCAAAAAUUCGUAGGAGCAUAAUUCAUUCCGUAACGAAAACUCACUUGGGAGAGCUAGACACUGAGGGGUAAAAGAGUUAUGCGUAGGCCAGGCUACGACUUAAAACUGUUGGGGGACUCGAGGAAUUCCAUAUAAAAUGGAAAGACUCAGCCGGGGAAACAACAACAUCUACAGGGGAUACAAGUAAGUCAGGAUAAAACUCAAUACUUGAAUCAUGC